GGGACUACAGGCGCCCGCCACCACGCCCGGCUAAUUUUUUGUAUUUUUAGUAGAAACGGGGUUUCACCAUGUUAACCAGGAUGGUCUCUAUCUCCUGACCUCGUGAUCCGCCCGCCUCCGCCUCCCAAAGUGCUGGGAUCGCAGGCGUGAGCCGCCGCGCCCGGCCUUGGCCAUUGUUCUUUCAGGCAGUAUUUUAGCUGUCCUUCGGCGCAGUUGAAGAUUCUGUAACUGGGCGUUUGCCAUUCAAAAUAGGUAGAGUUGCACAUUCAAGAGGGAAACAGUCCUGAGGCAUUCUCACAGAUAAAGGUCCUCGUGGUUCAACAAGAAUGAUAUCCAGAUUGUGCUUCAGAAGUGCUUUGGGUCCACCACCUACUGCAUUUGUGUCACAAUCCCAUUUUCUGCUAAAUAGGAUCUGGACCUCCAAAAUUAAAAUUACCUGGAAGUGGACAGAGUAUAUUUGAUGAGUGCCAAUUUACAGUGGAAGAAAAAUAAACAUUCAGUCCACCAGACUUAUCUGAUUAUCCUGGCACUUGUCUGGUUUCCAGGAGAGAGAGUGGAAACACACAACAUCUUUUGCUUCAAGACUAAUCAAUCGACGAAGCCAUGGCUGUGACAAACCUAAACUUCACAUGUCUUAACAGAUCUGCAUACAUAAUGCUUCGAAGGAAAAUAAAGAAAACCAACAAAGACAAUAAGCUGCUCCUUCUUCAUUUAGCCCAUCUCACUGUUGACUUCUCCAGAGAAGACGCUGUAACAGAGUUUGAAGAACAAGAUCUUUCUUGGAAAUCAACACCUGUGAAAGCAAGAGGGUAUAAGCAGAAUUGUGCAGAGGAAGAAGGUAAACCCCAAUGUAGGCCCAACUGUGCAUCUACUGAUGUGGCAAAGAGCAAAGUGAAUGUUGCUUAUCAGACUUUCUACAUUGGACCUGCAUGGUCAGGAAAUUACAUCCCUGCCUGGGUGAGUCACUGUAUGUAGUAUCCCCAGGAAGGGCAUGACCUCAUCAAAGUAGAUUUCUGCAGUUGAGACAGACCCUGAAGAUGUCAGAUGGAGGCUGUUUACUGACAAUACUCCUUGUAAUAGAACAGCUACCCCUUCCUUGUUUCCUUUGACUCUCAAACAAAAAAGACCCAUGCAGCUCUUUGGAUAGAAAUAAAUAUAUAGAUAUUUGGGUGCUGCCUAAGUCUUCUCCCAGAAGCAUCUGAGCCCU
rnacentral:lncRNA from 10 species